rnacentral:rRNA from 1 species
UUGAUAAUUCAGUACAAAUGCUGAAAUAUUAACACAAGACGAGAAGACCCUGUGGAACUUUUAACUAACCUGCCAGCAGUAAUCAACCAACCAACCACCCCUAGCAGACAGUUUAAGUUGGGGCAACUACGGAGCACAAUAAAACCUCCAUGAAACACGAAUACCAUUCGUUACCAAGGCCCACACGCCAACACAUUAAGCUUGACCCAGUAAAACUGAAUUUCGAACCAAGCUACCCCAGGGAUAACAGCGCAAUCCCCUUCAAGAGUCCCUAUCGCCAAGGGGGCUUACGACCUCGAUGUUGGAUCAGGACACCCCGGCGGUGCAGCCGCUGCCAAAGGCUCGUUUGUUCAACGAAUAAUGUCCU